rnacentral:rRNA from 1 species
AUGCAUAUCUCAGCGCACAUGGAUGUAGACAGUGGAUCUGUGUAUGGCUCCUUACAUCAGCAGUCAUUUCCGUGAUAGAGUGUGGCUGGCACCUGGGAGUGCCCUACAGGACAUCCUCCAAAACCUGGUGGCUAAUACACGUUCGCGCGGGUCUGCCACGCUACAACCCUGCUGUGACCCCUGUGGCCCGUCCAUCGGGAUGCCCACACAGGUGGAAGAUCGCACCCGGUCGCUGGUGAAGACCAGCGCCCGGUCAACGGCAGUUGUGCGUGGUUGACUCAGGCCGGUCCCUCCGCGGGACGCCGGCGUUGGCAGAGUGAUGUGGCUCCGGCCACAAGCAUGCUUGAUCACACAAACUUCUGACCUAUCAGCUCAGGACUGUGGCGUAGUGGCCCACAGUGGCGGCAACGGGUAACGGAGAAUUUGGGUUUGAUUCCGGAGAGGGAGCCUGAGAAACGGCUGCCACUACCAAGGUGGGCAGCAGGCACGCAAAUUGCCCAAUACAGGAGCACUCUUGUGAGGCAGCGACGAGCAGUAGCAAUCCCGCCAGCAUUAUCGCUGGUGGGACUUGGAAUGGAUGCAAUCCAAACACCGUGAUGAGUACCAACUGGAGGGCAAGUCUGGUGCCAGCAGCUGCGGUAAUUCCAGCUCCAGCGGCGUAUACUAACAUUGCUGCGGUUGAAACGUUUGUAGUCGAACUCUGGGUCCUGGUCUGCCAGGUGGCCGGUGGGUCCUCUGGUCGCCGGUGGGGGGCUUGCCCCCCGCCUAGGCGGCCCCGGGGGUCCGCUGGAACACAACCCCUGGCAGUAGGUCCAGUGCCCGCCCUCAGAUGGUCUGAUCAGCUCCUGUGUGAAGUCCCCUUCAGUGGGGAUCGAAACGGUCCGUGCACCCGACACAUGCUUGGACGCCCACAGGGGUGCUGGCCCCGUGCCGCACAUCCACCCUGGUCCAUCACCGGAGUCUACCAUCGCAGUCACCGUGGAAAACUCAGUGUGCUCAAAGCAACCAGAACUGGCUGCAUGCUCCUCCAUGGAAUGUCACAGUAUCGACUGGAUGCGGCAAGGGAGUUGUGCUGGCCUUGGUGCCCAUCCCAGGCAACGUGGUGCUGUCCCCCGGCGGACCCCGCGUGGGGUCCCCUCGGCCUCCGGGUCGGGGUGGUCCCGCCAGACCGUCGGUGGUGGCAGCAUCUAACGCCUCCAAGGGGACUGUUCAGGGUGCAAGAGACGGCAACGCCAGAGGUGAAAUUCUUAGACCGUUGCCAGAUCAGCAGCGGCGAAGGCGUUCUGCAAGGACACGUUCAUUGAUCAAGAGCGAAAGCCUGGGGAUCGAAGAGGAUCAGACACCCUCGUAGUCCAGCGCUGUAAACCAUGCCAGCUCGGCAACGGUGGGGAAAGUCAACCAACCCCAUCGGAGCCAUGCCCCCUGCAACGAGAAAUCCAAGCCUUUGGGUUCCGGGGGGAGUACUGUCGCAAGGCUGAAACUUAAAGGAAUUGACGGAAUGGCACCACAAGGUGUGGAGUAUGCGGCUUAAUUUGACUCAACGCGGGGAAUGUUACCAGGUCAGGACGUUGCUGGGAUGGACAGAUUGAGAGCUCUUUCUUGAUCCUUCGGAUGGUGGUGCAUGGCCGCUCCUGAUUGGUGGAGUGAUUUGUCUGGUUGAUUCCGAUAACGAGUGAGAUAUCUACCUCCCACUGGCACCAGUCUCGCACAACUUUGUAGGGUUCUGGCCGUGGCCUCCCAGGCCGUGGUGCGGUGGGGGUCUCGACCCCCGUCCGUGCCCGGUCCGUGGGGGCCGCACCGAGGCCGCCCGAGAGGCUCGGUCCUUUGCUUCUCUGAGGUGCUGUGUCCGCCACAAAGGGCAAGCAUGCUAGAGCCAACAGCAGGUCUGUGAUGCUCCCAGAUGUCCUGGGCCGCACGCGCACUACAUUGACUCAGUGAAGGUGUUUGCCCUUGCUUCUCUGCCAAGGCCUGCCCCGAGGGGGGUGGGAAACCCUGCAAGCCUGAGCUGUACUGGGGAUAGAUGAUUGCAACUGUCUGCCUUGAACGUGGAAUACCUAGUAUGCGCAGGUCAUCAGCCUGCACAGAUUGUGUCCCUGCCAUUUGUACACACCGCCCGUCGUUGCUACCGAUGGCAGCAGGAUAGAGCCAUCAGGAGGCCUCCCGGGUCGAAAAGGGUCCCCACCGCAAGGUCGGGUGUGCCCUCCCGCGCCAAAAUUGGGCAAUGUCCUGCUGCUAGAGGAAGCAAAA